UACGUAGGGGGCAAGCGUUGUCCGGAUUUAUUGGGCGUAAAGCGCGUGCAGGCGGCCCGUUAAGUCGGCCGUGAAAGCUCCGGGCUCAACUCGGAGAGGUCGGGCGAGACUGGCGGGCUCGAGGCUGGCAGAGGGCGGUGGAAUUCCGGGUGUAGUGGUGGAAUGCGUGAGAGCUCCGGAGGAACACCAGUGGCGAAGGCGGC
rnacentral:rRNA from 1 species